CAUACCCAGCUAAUUUUUUUUUUUUUUUUAAGAGAUGGGGGUCUCACUUUGUUGUUCAGGCUCGUCUUGAACUGCUGGUCCCAAGGGAUCCUCCUCUCAGCGUCCCAAUAUGCUAGGAUUACAGGUGUGAGCCACUGAUCCUGGCCUGAAUAACUACCCUUCUAACUACAUCAGAUAAGAGACUAUCUGCCAUAGUCCACAUUGGGCUUUUGUGCACCCAACCGCUGAUCACAAUGGUAUUGUGACCAGUUUUCCCAAAGUAAGUUUGACAUUUGGUUUGCUUUUAUUUAUUUCCUUCAUUCAUUCUAUCAAAAAAUAUUUAUCAGGCCCCCAUUGUGCUCCAGGCACUACACCAGCCACUGGAGGAGACUUGCAUGACUAAGGUAGUUAUAAUCGGCCCUAGAUUAAAUUUGCAGCUUGGGAAGAAUAAAAUGAGUCACCAUGCUACAGAGUACACAGAAGAAAUACCUGACCUGUAUUUGGAGAGUGAGAGAAGGCUUUUUUGUUCUUCUUUUUUGUUGUUCUUUUUGGUUUUGUGAGGUUUUCACAGUUUAAAAAAGCCUUCCUCACUCCUUGGUCUGAAACCGAAUGAAAAUUAGCUUUGACAAAUGAUUGGCUUGCAACUUAUCCCUGUGAAUUGUGGCCAUGUUGAUUUAAUGAGCAGCUCCUAUAUGGAAGCCAGUGUUACACACACAGACAGACUCACCUGCCUUGCCACUGUUUCCCAGACUGCCUGUGGUAACCAUGCUUCCAGGAAGCCCACGUAGUAUGAAUUAGAUACACACUUAAUAUCGAAUUAAAUAUUAGAAAGCUGUCAUUGCUGCCAUUACUAGGCAUGCUGCUAGGUCCCCCAAAAGUUUUGAUUGAAUGCUGCACAUUAUCCAUCAAAAGGGAAAGUGUGGAGGUUCCAGAUUCUUCACCAAAGGGGAGUCACACCUUCCUUUGCUAGGCAAGCUGAGAAGGGAUAAUCAACUCUCACUGAACUGAGUGAGGUCUAGGCUCCUACCUCAGCCAGGGUCCUUCUCCUUGUGGGUCAUGAACCAUAAUUCUUGUUCCCUAAGCAUGGAGACCCUGCCAGAAACUUCACUCUCUUUUCAGUCUUUCCACUUAGCUUUUUGCUCUGUUAACCUCUUGGAGAGAAAACCAGGGUCAGUUUUCUGCCCCUCACCAGGAUCUAGGCCUCUUAAAUGUUCAUCCUUGCCUUUUGAACCCUCCAAGGCUGUCUAGAGCUCUGAUGAUUUCUCUGCUUCCAGUAGUGGAUUCUUACUCUACACCUAGAAUCUGCAAAUGUUCCAGGGUAAAAGAAGUUGCAGAUCAACAGCUCACCUCUCUGUGAUUCUGCCCUCUUCAAACUGUGGCCUUGAAAGCCACCUUUGCAUCAGCAGUUCUCUUAGGUCUUUUGACAGUUUUCGAUUUCAUUUUAUUUUAUGUGGCCUUUCUAGUUAUUUUUGGUGGGAACAUCAGUCUGCUGCCUGACAUCCUAUUCAGGGGCAAAAGUCGUAAGCCUGUAUUUGAAACUAUAGGGCAGGAGCUGUGUUCAAGCAUGUAGCUUUUCAGAAGUCUAAAGGACUUUAUCCAGUUUCCAUUUCAGGUCUCUAAAGAGGUCUUCUCUGCUCAGAAAGUUAAUGUUCCUCAAGAUUUGACAAAUGCGUGUCAAAAUUCAUGUUGCUUCUGCUUUUAAUAUCAUAUGGUGAGAUUUUUUUACAAACACAUUAAAGCAUAGCACUUAGUGAUUCCAAGUGUUAAGCAAUUAUUUGUUAAAUCAGCUUUAUUUUAAUAAGGCUUAUAGACUCACUUGGAGUUGACCGGGAUUGAUUUUGUGCUGCUUUCUGGAGGCUCCAUUGUGCAUGGAAAUGGAGAGAUGGUCUGGACUUUGGUGGUGCAGGCACCCAGAGAGACGCUCUGUUUCACUCUGAGAAGCUACAGUCCAUGAGUCUGGUCACCACUGCAUAAAGAGCCAGUGGACCCAACUGUGGAAAAUAUCAAGGUCCCAAAUAUCUGACUGUCCAGAAGCGUCUUACUCUCCUUAGGUAGCACACAACAAUCAGCCUUUUUCUGAGGCCAUGGCAUGCCACAGAUUGAUCAUAGAGAAUAGUUGGUCCCAGAUCAAAGUCCAUAUAGAAUUGAGGAUGUGUAAAGGGUGUCUGACUGGCUUACUCCUUGGCUUAAAGCCACUUUAAUCUAGGACCUUGAGGAAGCCAGAAUGCAUGUCGAUUACAUUAAGGAAAGAAGAGAAAUCCUUAUGGAAACAGUACCACUUCCAUAUCCAUAGGGCUCCACUUCCCGCCCUCCACCUUGCUGUUACCUAUCAGUCAUCUGAAAGGAAGAUCCCACAGAGCUGACAGAGUCCUUUAGAGAGAAGAUCCUCGUCUUCUCUCUGUAGGUUACUUGUCUAUUUAAGAAGAAAACCUCUUGUUACCCGCUGGGAGCAUCUUGAUGUUAGAAACCAUGCCACUAUUUUUAGUGCGUGUCCUUGUGCUUCUGCACAAUGAGUCAGGAUUCUCGUUUUAAAAAUACUUGGCAUUCCUCAGAAGAAAGAUAAACACAUUUAAUGUUCUCAGUUGCUACUAUUCUAAUCGCAAAGUCAAGAGUUGCUUCUUUUCUUAACUGCCUUCAGUGCCGCAGAACUAUCUGGGCCUCUUCCUCUCCCCUCCUUGUGUGAUCACUCCUUUCAAAAGCAACAGCCAAAGCAGAUGCAGGGGGGAGAUGCAUUGGUGCUCAUAAAUUCAAGGAGCUAAAGUGGCAACAGCUGUGGCAGUUUCAGGAUUUCAGCAGAAAAGUACCAGGCAUUUCCCUCCUUCUUUCUGCCUCCUGACUGACCUGGGUGCUUCUCUUGAGGCCUGACAUAACAUGAGAUGCCCCUCCUCUUGGAACCUGAAGCUCCAUGCCUCCCCCAGAGAAGAGAAGAGUAUCCUCAUCACUUUCCUGUGCCUUGCAAUUUGAGUAAUGCCUCAGCACUUCAACCAGUCUGCGGAUAUUUUCUCUUCUUGAGUGUGGUAAACUCUGGAGGAAGAUAAUGAUGGGUCCAAAGAAUUUGAUAAAUUGGGACACCCCAAUUUCAGACCAUUCUCCACUCCUAAGAAUGCUGCAGUUGAGGCCCCACCACUUGACACUUUCCUGCCCCUGAGCCCUGCUGUCUCUUUAGAGAACCACUUAAUGGUCAAUGGCUGUUGUCCUUGGUUCCUGUGUGGGAUAAGGCUUGCAGUUAUGUGCCACUUUUUUCAAGGAUUGCUUCGUGUAGGGGUGGACGUGGUGUUGGGGAAGGGUGGUGAAAGAAUUCAAGAAUGGGAUAACCAAUUCAUCUCAUCACAGGGCUAGAAAGAACAAUAAUUCUCCUGGCCUCCAGUUGAGAGCAAGGGGAGGUUUGUGGACUCUGACGGAGGCAAUGGGGCACUCCGUGCAUAAAGGACUAUGUGCACCGCAUGACAGGUGCUCAAUGAAUUUUUCCUCUUGAAAUUUAACUACCUUCUUGAUAUGUCACUGCUCCUUAGUGCCUCCAGAAAAGAGAAUAGAAAAAACAAAAGAGAGGAUAGUAUGAUUUUCACUGUCUUUUUAAAGCAAUGGGAUGUUUAUUAAAGACUUUUGAUACAUACUAAUGGCUUUAAGCAUGGUCAUGAACGUAAUGUAUUUAAAAUUUACCCUACUCUCAUUCUUACCUUCAGCUUGGAUAGAAUGAUUUUUACCGUAAUUAGGGAACAUGAGCUGAUAGAGAAAGCUACAGAGGGUCACUUGCUCAUGUGUAAAGGCGGGAGGCAUGAGAAGCCCCCCGUUUUUUAUAAAAUAUAUCCAAUCUGUGUUCUAACGUAGGUCUCAGCAGUUAGCAGAAAGUGUCUCUGAUUUGGCCCCUAAGAAAGACACCAAAUAAAAACCCCAGACUCCACUCUUAUAGGAUCUUGCCCCCAAAGUUGACUGUUGGUGGCUACAUUGUGUACUACAUGGGGUUAGUGCUACAAUGCAAAUUAUGUGGACAAGUAAAGCAACAUGACCCCACAGAUUUUUACCCGCCACCAAGCUACAUCUGCGUGGGGAGGCGAUCCUGCCACGCCAUUCCCCCCAUCUCAUUCUAAGAGUGAUGGAGAGAGUCUGUGACGCAGCCUGCCAGACCUUCCUCUCCAAGUUCAAUGUGGAAACCAGCUGAGGCCAGGGACUUGGGCAUCGGCUCCCUAGCUCAGUGUCAACUUAGAACCAAACGGCAAAAGGCACUGGUAGCUCAACAAAGGGACGGAGUAAGCAGAUGGAGCCAUUUUAUUCCUUAAUUAACAUAACAGCUCUAAGCAAUCUCUCCCCACCCCCGUAAUCUUACCAACAACACUGAGGGGUUCUACCUGUGUUUAUUGGCUGUUUGUGCUGUGUGUUUCAAAUAAUUGAUAACAUAUGUGAUUUUGUUCUUAUGUACUGAGCUUGCUUAAUCUGCAUAUUCAUUAAAAAAGAAUUUUUAAAAUCUUUGUCAGAUGUUCUGCAUCUGAAUCAUCUUCUAGCAUUAAACCGCAGCCAAGAACUUUUAUGUCUUUUAUCACAUUAAUAUAAAGAUUCAUGGAAAUUUGGGGUCUUGCUGGUUUACAAUUUCUCUAGUUUCUCCAGUUCAUUUACUUUUUAAGGGCAAGCUGUAAAUAUUGCUGGUAACGAUGUGCUGAAUGGAAUUACAUUUCUAUAUCCACUUCAGAAAGAUUAGACUAAUCCAGAGACCAGAAAUCAGUGGAAUUACAAACUAUCCAAUUCUUGGUGGGAGUUUUGAAGCAAAGUUUUUAAGAGUAGUUUGUGGCUUAAAUUGCAUAUUCCCUCUGUAGUUUACUUGAGCUAUUUGAAAUGCAGAAGUACAUAUGUGUAAGCUCAUCCAUUAUAUCAUGCAUAAUAUAUAGAAUGCAGAUAACUGUGUAAGGCAGCUCACCAAAUGGUACCUGGCAUGCAAUAGGCAUUAAAUGAAUAUGAAUAAAUAAACUAAAGAAAAUGUGCUGUCCCUAUUAGGGUCAUAUCUGAUUCCAAGGAAGUGCAAGGGUCUGUGGGAGGUAAUACCAAAUGUUGUCAAGUGUGGCCUGGGGAAACAGAUCACCAAGAUGAACAGUAUUCUACAAUAUGUUGAAAAUUAUAAAAAUACGCUUUAUUUACUUGAAAAAUUUGUUUAAAGAAGCUGAAAUCAGCCACAGAUUUUUCCUUGUGUGGAUUUUAGCUUUUCCUCUUCAAACUCUAAGUUGCAGAAUCGAGCCCCUUCAGUCUCUGUAGGGGAUAGUUAGAGAGGCUGACUGACUGGUGUUAACUUUGGUCCCAAGAGCCUCUUCAUCAUCUUCCUUCUGCUUGAAUAUCAGAAAGGCAAAAAUAAGCUACAUGUAAUGUGGGCAUCAGGAAGGUGAAAGAGUGGUUUACAAUUGCAGACAGCAGUCUCCAGACAUUAAAAGAUGAGGGAAAGUGUAGGGAUGGUGGAUUCCCAAGUAAGAAAAACAAUUUCCCCCUGCAAGGAACCAUGUAAGGCCAUCAAAGGAUAAUAACCAACAUCCAUGCAACUCCUGCCAGGUGCCAAACGCUGGAUGGCCUCACCAGCCUCUUGGAAAAGGAGGGGGUAAGUACAUACCUUCUUCAUUUUCUUUUUCGGGGACCCAAGACACAGAACGAUAAAGUAACUUACUUAGGUUACACCAUUAAUGAGGGGCAGGGCUCGGUCUCAAACUCAAACUGAGCUACUAAUAUCUCAGUAAAACACCUUUGUAUAAAUGAGGAGGUAGCUCCUAAGAUCUUAUCAUGGCUGUGUGGCUCCAGAUCUCUUUACCACUGCAAGCACUUCUAAGCAUAGCAUAGGGUUCACCUGCAACUAACCGCACCACCUUGAGAAAAUACCAGACCCUUGAAAGUCCAGGGCAGCCACUCCAUGGUCCCUGCUCUCCCUGCAUGAACCAUUUGCAUCUCCAGACCAUGUCCCUUUCUGAUCCCUAAUGUCUGUCAGCCUCUCACCCCUGCACACGCCAGGAUGCCCCUUCCUUCCUGCACUGCCUUAUUCCUUGUUCUUCAGCUGUCAGAUUGACUCCUCUUUAAGACCCAUGAAGUUUUUCAUAGCCUGUCCAGUGCCGGGAUUACAAUGCUGUACACAUUCAUUCACUUAGGCAACAAACAUUCGUCAAUAUGCUUUCAGCAUGAAGUUACAGGAAAUCCAUCUUAAACAGGAUUUAGCAACAAUGAAAUAGUUGGUUCGCAUUCCUGGAAGUCACAGCAGGGGACCGAUGCUUAGGUUGCUUGGUCUGGAAACUUUAGUUCUAUUUUUCCACAAAUUCUUUUAAUAAGUUUUUUUUUCCCAGUGAAUUUGUGACUCGACCCUUUUCUGCAUGUUGGCUUCUUCCUCACUUUGUAGAAAGAUGCAAUAAACAAAGUCAGUCUGGAAGCAGAAGACAGACCUUUCUCAGGAGUCCUUAGCAAGCUUCUCAUUGGUCUGAUUGAGUGACAUGCCUGUCCUGGACCAAUCACCAGCAAGCAGGAUAAAAUUACCCCUGGUGCUAUCAUUCCCAUGCUUGGAGCCAGGGUUGUGUUUGACAUAUAUAAGGGAAUUUAAUUCCUAUGUGAAUCUGUGAAAUAAAAUAAUUCAUAGUUUGUAGCUCGUACAUGCACAAGUAUUUUAUUCUUACCAAACAGGGACAUUCUGCACAAAACUAAUUCAACCAUUUUUGUUUCAUUUCUUGCUAUGUGCACAUUCUGCUAACGCUCUACAUUCCUACUCAUUGUGAAUAAAGAAGGGCCUGAAAAAAAAAAUAAAAGAACCAUAGGUUGCCCUACCUUUCCCUUUCGUCAUUUUCAGCGUAACUGUUUGAGUAACACAAAAAAUGUAACAUGAGUGGGAAAGGCUAUGACAAGUUCCCUUGAUCAUUUGUGUUUCUUAGAAUGCCACUGCCUUCUUUCUGUGUCCAAGCAAGUUAUGAUUGGAAUGGAAAGCGUAGCCACCCAGGGCUGUCAGUACUGCUGCCUCCUCAAUUGCAGACAUGUUGACACAGAACAUGAUCAUCGAAUUCCAGUGAAGCCACAGUGCAUGGCAGUGCAGCAAGAGUGAAAGCAAGUAGAAGUUAUGCAGAACCAAGAACACCCCAUUGACUGGAAUAAUGCCCCCCCACCUCCGACAGAAGAGUGGUGAGUGGAUGUUCUGACGUCUCUUUACCCUUAUACUAGUCAUUAAAUUAUGACCUUCUUCUCACCUCCAAAAUGAGUCUCAACGCUGUCCAACUUUUCUAGGAAGAGGACUUCUUGUUAAUGUCAAAUUUUAUAGCAUUUCCACAUGAUAGUAGUUGUACUUUUAGUAUCUGUUGAGUUUUAAAAUAUGUGAUAAAAGGCACCGGAGUUCAGUAAGAUUUGGAUUAAUUUUUAUUUUAUUAAUCACAAUGGUAUCAAAUUACAUUUGAAAAUCAGCGAGGACAGGGACACGGCAGUGCUCUAUAAAUAUCAGUGGGAUGAAUAAAGAAAGUGCUUGUGGUGAAUAUGGAUUCAGGAGCCUAUAACUCAACACCCUAGAGAAGGGGUGGCUCACGGGCGGGGGCAGCGCUGGAGAGAAACGGGGGCCAAACUUGCUCGGUUUUGUGUGUGCAUGGGCCGGGUACAGGAUAAGCUCUGGGAGCUCCUUCCAAGUCUGUGCCCUUGGGAGAGAAUCAGUGUUUAGAACAGGCCCGCCCACAGAAAACCACACUGUGAAGAUCCCUUCUUUCAUGGUUCUGAAUCCUUCAUAACAAACAAAGCUACCCGGUAGGCCGGGACUUCAGUUAUAUCCCUUCGGUUCACAUUACAAACCUUACAGGGAAAAGUGACCUCAUGGCAGCUGGAGCAAAGUGGGGAAACUGAGCAGACAAGACACCAGCUAGGACAAGCAGCUCUAGUCUAGGGACCUCCCAAGGGGAGCGUGAUUUCAAGUUUGCUGCUCUCCCACAAAAGAGAUGGGAACUGAGGAGAGGUUUAUGAAGACAGCUGGUUAGAAACAGAGGUGAUAAUUCAAGUACUUA